UUGAAAUUCUAUAGUUGGGUAGUUUGAUAAAUUGUACAUUUUUGUGUUUAGGUGAAGUUGCUAGUGGGGAUUUCCUUAAUCCUUUUCCGCUCAAUUUUGCUGCUACGGAGUAUCUGUAAAUGGACCUCUUCUAAAAUUUACAUAAUUUUAUAGUUUAUUUGCAUAAAUGAAAUGCAUGCCUUACGAGUUUAUGAACUGAUUUUUAUGUUAAGCAUGUUUACUGAAAUGUUGAUUAUCGUCUCGUUAUUUUUGUAAGAAAUUAAUUGUUGGCCUAUAUUGAGCUAUAUUUUAACAUAUAUCGUAUUUU
rnacentral:lncRNA from 1 species